rnacentral:rRNA from 1 species
AGUGAACGCUGGCGGUAUGCCUAACACAUGCAAGUCGAACGGCAGCACAGUAAGAGCUUGCUUUUACGGGUGGCGAGUGGCGUACGGGUGAGGUAUACAUCGGUAUCUACUUUUUCGUGGGGGAUAACGUAGGUAAACUUACGCUAAUACCGCAUACGACCUACGGGUGAAAGCAGGGGAUCUUCGGACCUUGCGCGAUUGAAUGCGCCGAUGUCGUAUUAGCUAGUUGGCGGGGUAAAGGCCCACCCAGGCGACGAUCCGUAGCUGAUCUGAGAGAAUGAUCAGGCACACUGGGACUGAGACGCGGUCCAGACACCGACGGGAGGCAGAGGUGGGGAAUAGUGGACGAUGGGGGCAAGACUGAUCAAGCGAUACCGCGUGGGUGAAGAAGGCCUUCGGGUUGUAAGACCCUUUUGGUGGGGAAGAAAAGCAGCAGGUGAAAAGCAGGCUGUUGUGACGGUACCCAAAGAAGAAGCACCGGCUAACUACGUG